GCUGCUGCUGCUGCUGCUGGACUGUUGCAACGUCCAGUUGCAGCAACAAACGAGGAGCCGAGGCUGCUGCGGCGGCUGCUGCUGCUGCAUUUGUCACAGCAGCCACUGCCGCCGAAUGUUGCUGAUGUUGCCCAUGUUGCUGAUGAUGAUGAUGAAGCUGCUGCUGCUGCUGCUGCUGCUGUUGCUGUUGUUGCUGAUGAUGAAGAUGUUGCUGUUGCUGUUGCUGCUGCUGCUGCUGC
rnacentral:sRNA from 1 species